UAUUGCACAAUGGGGGAAACCCUGAUGCAGCGACGCCGCGUGAGCGAGGAAGUAUUUCGGUAUGUAAAGCUCUGUCAGCAGGGAAGAAGAAUGACGGUACCUGAAGAAGAAGCACCGGCUAAAUACGUGCCAGCAGCCGCGGUAAUACGUAUGGUGCAAGCGUUAUCCGGAUUUACUGGGUGUAAAGGGAGCGCAGGCGGUUCUGCAAGUCUGAUGUGAAAGCCCGGGGCUCAACCGCGGGACUGCAUUGGAAACCGCGGGACUGGAGUGUCGGAGGGGUAAGCGGAAUUCCUGGUGUAGCGGUGAAAUGCGUAGAUAUCAGGAGGAACACCGGUGGCGAAGGCGGCUUACUGGACGAUGACUGACGCUGAGGCUCGAAAGCGUGGGGAGCAAACAGA
rnacentral:rRNA from 1 species